AAAUGACAUUUCUGACAGCUGGGUUAGCAUGAAGGGUCACUCAGAAGCAAGUGAGAACAGAGGGAGCUUCGGAGAUGGGGAAUGGGCACCACUAGCCGAAGAGCACACAGCUGAACUCCUGUC